rnacentral:rRNA from 1 species
CAAUAGCUUAUAGUAGAAUUGUUGCGGUUAAAAAGCUCGUAGUCGUAAUUCAUCCUUUUUAAAAAUAUAUAUACAAUCGUAUAUUUAUUUUUAAUUUGUGAUAAUCGAGCAAAUUUGAUAAGACUUGACUGUGCUUAUCAAGAUUGCUUAUCCUUUACUUUGAGUAAAUUGAUACGUUCAUAGUAGGCUUAGUCCCGAACAACAUAGCAUGGAAUGAUGACUUAGAACUUGUGUUCUAAUUUGUUGGUUUACGGAACAAAAGUGAUUAAAUAAAGGAACAGUCGGGGGCAUUAGUAUCCGUCCGCUAGAGGUGAAAUUCUUGGAAUGGACGCAGACUAACUACUGCGAAAGCAUUUGUCAAGGAUGUUUNCAUUG